rnacentral:rRNA from 2 species
AACGACUCUCGGCAACGGAUAUCUCGGCUCUCGCAUCGAUGAAGAACGUAGCGAAAUGCGAUACUUGGUGUGAAUUGCAGAAUCCCGUGAACCAUCGAGUCUUUGAACGCAAGUUGCGCCCUAAGCCGUUAGGCCGAGGGCACGUCUGCCUGGGUGUCACGCAU